GACGAACGCUGGCGGCGCGCCUAACACAUGCAAGUCGAACGGAGCAUUGAGAGCUUGCUUUUAAUGCUUAGUGGCGAACGGGUGAGUAACGCGUGAGUAACCUGCCCUGGAGUGGGGGACAACAGUUGGAAACGACUGCUAAUACCGCAUAAGCCCACGAUCCGGCAUCGGAUUGAGGGAAAAGGAUUUAUUCGCUUCAGGAUGGACUCGCGUCCAAUUAGCUAGUUGGUGAGGUAACGGCCCACCAAGGCGACGAUUGGUAGCCGGACUGAGAGGUUGAACGGCCACAUUGGGACUGAGACACGGCCCAGACUCCUACGGGAGGCAGCAGUGGGGGAUAUUGCACAAUGGGGGAAACCCUGAUGCAGCGACGCCGCGUGGAGGAAGAAGGUUUUCGGAUUGUAAACUCCUGUCGUUAGGGACGAUAAUGACGGUACCUAACAAGAAAGCA
rnacentral:rRNA from 1 species